rnacentral:tRNA from 1 species
CAUUAUGUAACUAACUGGUGUUAGAGGCCUAUUGCAGCUAAGUCAUGAAGGGUUCAAUUCCCUACAUAAUGU